rnacentral:rRNA from 1 species
UACGGAAGAUGCGAGCGUUAUCCGGAUUUAUUGGGUUUAAAGGGUGCGUAGGCGGGCUUUUAAGCCAGCGGUAAAAAUUCGGGGCUCAACCCCGUCCGGCCGUUGAAACUGGGGGCCUUGAGUGGGCGAGAAGAAGGCGGAAUGCGUGGUGUAGCGGUGAAAUGCAUAGAUAUCACGCAGAACCCCGAUUGCGAAGGCAGCCUUCCGGCGCCCUACUGACGCUGAGGCACGAAAGUGCGGGGAUCGAACAGG